rnacentral:rRNA from 1 species
GAUGAACGCUAGCUACAGGCUUAACACAUGCAAGUCGAGGGGCAGCAUGAACUUAGCUUGCUAAGUUUGAUGGCGACCGGCGCACGGGUGAGUAACACGUAUCCAACCUGCCGAUGACUCGGGGAUAGCCUUUCGAAAGAAAGAUUAAUACCCGAUGGCAUAGUUCUUCCGCAUGGUAGGACUAUUAAAGAAUUUCGGUCAUCGAUGGGGAUGCGUUCCAUUAGCUAGUUGGCGGGGUAACGGCCCACCAAGGCAUCGAUGGAUAGGGGUUCUGAGAGGAAGGUCCCCCACAUUGGAACUGAGACACGGUCCAA